rnacentral:rRNA from 1 species
GACGAACGCUGGCGGCGUGCCUAAUACAUGCAAGUCGAGCGGACUGAUUAAGAGCUUGCUCUUAUGACGUUAGCGGCGGACGGGUGAGUAACACGUGGGCAACCUGCCCUGUAGAUCGGGAUAACACCGAGAAAUCGGUGCUAAUACCGGGUAAUAUCUGAGAUCACAUGAUCUUAGGUUAAAAGAUGGCUCCGGCUAUCACUACAGGAUGGGCCCGCGGCGCAUUAGCUAGUUGGUAAGGUAAUGGCUUACCAAGGCGACGAUGCGUAGCCGACCUGAGAGGGUGAUCGGCCACACUGGGACUGAGACACGGCCCAGACUCCUACGGGAGGCAGCAGUAGGGAAUCUUCCGCAAUGGACGAAAGUCUGACGGAGCAACGCCGCGUGAGUGAUGAAGGGUUUCGGCUCGUAAAGCUCUGUUGUUAGGGAAGAAACAGUACAGAACGAACUAGGUCGGUACCUUGACGGUACCUAACCAGAAAGCCACGGCUAACUACGUG